AUUCAGGCCGUCGCUGUCACAGGUGGCUCCGUUCAGACAGCUGACGUUAGCGCAGGGAUCCUUGUACAAUUCACAGUGUGUUCCUGCAGAGAAACAAGCAAAACAGGAUGACUCAUCCAGGACUCUCUGGCUCCCAUGGCCUCUGAAAGCAAAGUCGGAACUCUCUGGAACAAUGCGAGGGAGAUUCCCAGCGUGGGUGUGUGUGGGUGAGUGUAUACACACGUGCCCACUCAUGAUUUUAGAUUGUUGUAAAAACUUGCCUUAUGAGAAAGUAACACAUUCGAUCACUGUCCAUAGGUCCCACCAUAGUCUUUUAUCUGUACUUUCUCUGCCUACGUGUCCCAAAGCCUGGGGAACAGAAAGUUAAAAGCCUGAAAGAUAAAUUAAUCAAUAGCAAAUGCUUUAUAAGUCUCCAAAAGAAACAGAAAAUAUCUAGAUGGCCUUGAGAAAAUAUAAUAUUAGCAACCUGAAAGUGAAGAUUUGGAAUCAGAUAUUUAAAUGAGGAAACUGAGGAAAGAGUCGAAGAUCACAAGCCUGGUAAGAAAGGAGCUGGGAUUUGAAGCUGCCCGUAAUCCCAUCCCAGAGUCUGUGUUUGCUAAGUAGGCUGUUGAGAGUGACCCUGAAUUGACUGUGGAAAUAUACAAAACUCUAUGGAGCUCAGCACUCGUUUAACAAAGAAGAGGCAUUUUUUAAAAAAUCUGUAAAGUAAAACAGACAGCUUCUCAUUUACUUUUUUUAAAAAAAAAA
rnacentral:lncRNA from 10 species